UUUUUUUUUUCCUUUUAAGUGCUUAUGCCUGUUUAAAAGAAUUGGACAAUACGGAAGGUCGUAAUCUGAGACUUUUGGACUUCACACUUUGUAAAGAUGAACUGAUAGGUAUGAUGUGUCCUGAGGGCUCCUGAGGACUUGCCCCGAAGGGGGGGAGCAAUCUGGAAAGCCCGGAGGAUUGCCCUUGUGAUGUUAAAGAAAAGAAGGGAUUGAAAUGAAGAUGACUUUGAAGUGUCUGCUUUAAAGGAUGCAAACACAUCUUGGUGCUUAAGCUGCAAAUAAAGCUGGCUGCUCCAUGGGAGUGCAAUGCAAA